rnacentral:lncRNA from 1 species
UCGUGUUUAAGUCUAAUUAAUUAAUUCCUAUUGUUCCUUCUUCAAUUUAUUAUCAAUCGAAUUGAUUACUCGUUAUUCAUAAUCACUUUUCAACCAUCGGAUCGGUCAAUACUUCUAGUAUGUGUGACCCCAUAGGUUCUAUUCUGACUGGUAGUGAGAUAUAUUGUGAUCUCUAUCACAAUAUCAUUGAAAACUCUUUUCAAUUGGUCGGAAUGAUUCCAACUCUACUCAUUAGGGUUUAUCGAUCAUCGAAAUAAUCCCUGUGAGUCUCACCAUCCACCAGUGACACCUAGCAGCAUGUAGUGGCUAUCCAGCAGAAUAGAAUGAUGAACCUCUAGGUGCAGUUAUCGUGUGAUACAGUCCUACUAUCGUGGAUCCCUACAGGAUGGAGAUCAUGGACAACUCGUCAAACCCCAUCGUCUGUCAUAUGUCAAGAUUUAUUCGACUUAAGCUCGAGAGUGAAAAACUCUUUCUCCACUAUACAAUCUGCCCCGACCGAGGUCUUACGAACUCAGUCUUAUAAAUUACAUAAGAUCUCUCCUUAUCUAUCAAGGUCGAUAGAUUUCUUAUAGGUGCAUAUCUACUCCUACAGUAAACUUACUGCAGCCAAUCUACACUACCUGGACCUAUAUGGCUAGAGACCAUGUAUAUGUGUAGUCAAACUACAAUAACCUCACUGUGAGUAGCCGAAGCAUCGCAGGUCAAAGGACUAGUCAUACUACUGCAACAUCAAGCAAGUCAAGUCACUGACGAGUGGAUAGACAUCCAAGUGACUUCUUGUUUUGGUCACGCUCAGUACCCUUGUUCUUAACAAGCACCUGCACUAUUACUUCAGUGUCGCCAAACUGUGGACUCGAGUCUCGUCCAUCCAUAAGAAAAGCAAUGUGUGCACCAAUCGGAUCGAUCACCGUCCUCGUGAUGAUCCAUUGAUCAGGAGCAUUCAAAAAUUAAUCACCAAUGAUGCAUGGCUCAAAUUCUUAACUCUUAAGAAUAUGCAUCAUCAUCUUAUUAAUUCUUGAACGAUUCAUAGACACAUAAAAAAGAUGCCUUUUAUUUAUUCAAUAAUAAAUAGUCAAGUACAAAAUUAUGUUCCUAGA